rnacentral:lncRNA from 1 species
UCCCAUUCAACGACAAUACCAUUCUUAGUACACAAAUCAACAAGAAGAUGCACAUGAACAAAUUCAUGCAAACAAUACAAAAUAAUUAUCUGAUGGUGCAAUUUGUUCUCUAAAAUAUGAGGAGAAAUGCAGCCGACGAGAGAUUGAGGAACACAAUCGAAAGUUCCCAUACUCAUCCAUGGGUCUUUGUGGGUUAUGAUUCUAAUGUCUCUAGUACAAAUAAUGUGUGGGACACAUAUCAAAUAAGAAUAACAAACGAAGAAGAGCAUACAAAUGCAGAUUGCGGGAUGGCCAUCUUCUUUACUCUCGAUCUGUGACAGAAGAAGAAUAAGAAAGAGGAGAGACGGACGAGGGAGAACUUAAAAUGGGUGAAGGGAUGAAGAAGGAACAUAGGAUAGGAGGGUCUCCAGAAGAUAAGAUACAAAAAAUGAUGUGGG